rnacentral:rRNA from 1 species
CCUACGGGAGGCAGCAGUGGGGAAUAUUGCACAAUGGGGGAAACCCUGAUGCAGCGACGCCGCGUGAGUGAAGAAGGAUUUCGGUACGUAAAGCUCUAUCAGCAGGGAAGAAAAUGACGGUACCUGACUAAGAAGCCCCGGCUAACUACGUACCAGCAGCCGCGGUAAUACGUAGGGGGCAAGCGUUAUCCGGAUUUACUGGGUGUAAAGGGAGCGUAGACGGCAGCGCAAGUCUGGAGUGAAAUCCCAUGGCUUAACCAUGGAACUGCUUUGGAAACUGUGCAGCUAGAGUGCAGGAGAGGUAAGCGGAAUUCCUAGUGUAGCGGUGAAAUGCGUAGAUAUUAGGAGGAACACCAGUGGCGAAGGCGGCUUACUGGACUGUAACUGACGUUGAGGCUCGAAAGCGUGGGGAGCAAACAGGAUUAGAUACCCCAGUAGUC